UUCUUUGUAGUAACAUACGUGUGC
rnacentral:piRNA from 1 species